rnacentral:lncRNA from 1 species
AGGACAGGACGAAGCUUGGCGCGGCGAGCGGCUCUGGCGCAUGAUCAGGAAGGAGCUCGGGGGAGAGCUCGCGGUGCUGGCUCGGCUCGACGUCGCGCACAACAGCGAGGUCCAUGCGCGUCGUCGGGGCACGUCGUCGUGGCGGACAGGGUUGGGUUGGUGACCGCGGCGAGCUCGGAGCCGCGGUUGGCUUGGUGGCACGGCUCGACGCAGAGGCAGACCGGGGCGUCGGGGAUGGCCGGGCUCGGAGCAGACCACGGCGAGGACGUCGCGGAGGGGCGACACGCUCGCGGUGGCACGACGAGGACUGCGUCGAGGCUUCGCUUGCGGUGGCUCGGCGAGGUCGUGCAUAGGAGCUCGACGCGGCGGGCGGCUCCGGUGCGAGGACGGCGUCGCGGG